rnacentral:rRNA from 1 species
GGGGAAGGGGGACUUGCUCCUGAUGUUAGCGGCGGACGGGUGAGUAACACGUGGGUAACCUGCCUGUAAGACUGGGAUAACUCCGGGAAACCGGGGCUAAUACCGGAUGCUUGUUUGAACCGCAUGGUUCAGACAUAAAAGGUGGCUUCGGCUACCACUUACAGAUGGACCCGCGGCGCAUUAGCUAGUUGGUGAGGUAACGGCUCACCAAGGCGACGAUGCGUAGCCGACCUGAGAGGGUGAUCGGCCACACUGGGACUGAGACACGGCCCAGACUCCUACGGGAGGCAGCAGUAGGGAAUCUUCCGCAAUGGACGAAAGUCUGACGGAGCAACGCCGCGUGAGUGAUGAAGGUUUUCGGAUCGUAAAGCUCUGUUGUUAGGGAAGAACAAGUGCCGUUCAAAUAGGGCGGCACCUUGACGGUACCUAACCAGAAAGCCACGGCUAACUACGUGCCAGCAGCCGCGGUAAUACGUAGGUGGCAAGCGUUGUCCGGAAUUAUUGGGCGUAAAGGGCUCGCAGGCGGUUUCUUAAGUCUGAUGUGAAAGCCCCCGGCUCAACCGGGGAGGGUCAUUGGAAACUGGGGAACUUGAGUGCAGAAGAGGAGAGUGGAAUUCCACGUGUAGCGGUGAAAUGCGUAGAGAUGUGGAGGAACACCAGUGGCGAAGGCGACUCUCUGGUCUGUAACUGACGCUGAGGAGCGAAAGCGUGGGGAGCGAACAGGAUUAGAUACCCUGGUAGUCCACGCCGUAAACGAUGAGUGCUAAGUGUUAGGGGGUUUCCGCCCCUUAGUGCUGCAGCUAACGCAUUAAGCACUCCGCCUGGGGAGUACGGUCGCAAGACUGAAACUCAAAGGAAUUGACGGGGGCCCGCACAAGCGGUGGAGCAUGUGGUUUAAUUCGAAGCAACGCGAAGAACCUUACCAGGUCUUGACAUCCUCUGACAAUCCUAGAGAUAGGACGUCCCCUUCGGGGGCAGAGUGACAGGUGGUGCAUGGUUGUCGUCAGCUCGUGUCGUGAGAUGUUGGGUUAAGUCCCGCAACGAAGCGCAACCCUUUGAUCUUAAGUUGCCAGCAUUCAGUUGGGGCACUCUAAAGGUGACUGCCCGGUGACAAACCCGAAGGAAGGUGGGGGAUGACUUCAAAUCAUCAUUGCCCCUUUAGGACCUUGGGCUACACCCG